rnacentral:RNase_P_RNA from 1 species
CUUCGGAGCCACGCGUUCGCUCCGCCGUUCUUUAUUGAUUUAGGUCCGUUUUAAUGGCGGAGAGGAAAGUCCGGACGUCACAGGGCAGGAUUCCUCGCGAAAGCGAGGGAGGCUCGCUUCAAGGCGGGUCGACGGAUAGCGCCACAGAAAAUAUACCGCCACCUUCGCCAAGGCUUCGGCGGGCAGGCCCCGUUCAGGGGAUCUGUUUGGUGAAGGAGGCAAGGGUGAAAUGGUGGGGUAAGAGC